CAAUAGCGUAUAUUAAAGUUGUUGCAGUUAAAAAGCUCGUAGUUGGAUUUCCGGCGUGAGGGAUCAGUCUGACUUCUAGUCAGUACUUGGUCCUCUCAUGCCGUCCUUGAAUGGUGCAUCCUGGCAUUAAGUUGUCGGGCAAAGGAUCCUCAUCGUUUACUGUGAAAAAAUUAGAGUGUUCAAAGCAGGCUUAUGCCGUUGAAUAUAUUAGCAUGGAAUAAUAAGAUAGGACUUUGGUACUAUUUUGUUGGUUUGCGCACCAAAGUAAUGAUUAAUAGGGACAGUUGGGGGUAUUCGUAUUCCGUUGUCAGAGGUGAAAUUCUUGGAUUUACGGAAGACGAACUACUGCGAAAGCAUUUACCAAGGAUGUUUUCAUUAAUCAAGAACGAAAGUUAGGGGAUCGAAGACGAUCAGAUACCAU
rnacentral:rRNA from 1 species